rnacentral:rRNA from 1 species
GACGAACGCUGGCGGCGUGCUUAACACAUGCAAGUCGAACGCUGAAGCUCAGCUUGCUGGGUGGAUGAGUGGCGAACGGGUGAGUAACACGUGAGUAACCUGCCCCCUUCUUUGGGAUAACGCCCGGAAACGGGUGCUACUACUGGAUAUUCACUGAUUCUCGCAUGGGGGUUGGUGGAAAGGUUUGUUCUGGUGGGGGCUGGGCUCGCGGCCUAGCAGCUUGUUGGUGGGGUGAUGGCCUACCAAGGCUUUGACGGGUAGCAGGCCGGGGAGGGUGACCGGUGACAUGAGGACUGGGAUACGGCCCAGAGUCAGGCGGGAGGCGGCAGUGGGGAAUAAUGCACGAAGGGCGAAAGCCUGAUGCAGCGGCGACGCGUGAAGGAUGGAGGCCUGCGGGUUGUAGACCUCUUUCGAGAAUGGUCAAGCCGCAGCUUUGGGUUGUGGUGAGGGUAGUGGGUAAAGAAGCGCCGGCUAACUACGUG